GAUGAACGCUGACAGAAUGCUUAACACAUGCAAGUCAGCUUGAAUUUGGGUUUUUAACUUAGGUUUGGGUGGCGGACGGGUGAGUAACGCGUAAAGAACUUGCCUCACAGCUAGGGACAACAUUGGAAACGAAUGCUAAUACCUAAUAUUAUGAUAAUAGGGCAUCCUAUAAUUAUGAAAGCUAUAAGCGCUGUGAGAGAGCUUUGCGUCCCAUUAGCUAGUUGGAGAGGUAACGGCUCACCAAGGCGAUGAUGGGUAGCCGGCCUGAGAGGGUGAUCGGCCACAAGGGGACUGAGACACGGCCCUUACUCCUACGGGAGGCAGCAGUGGGGAAUAUUGGACAAUGGACCAAGAGUCUGAUCCAGCAAUUCUGUGUGCACGAUGAAGUUUUUCGGAAUGUAAAGUGCUUUCAGUUGGGAAGAAAGAAAUGACGGUACCAACAGAAGAAGUGACGGCUAAAUACGUGCCAGCAGCCGCGGUAAUACGUAUGUCACGAGCGUUAUCCGGAUUUAUUGGGCGUAAAGCGCGUCUAGGUGGUUAUGUAAGUCUGAUGUGAAAAUGCAGGGCUCAACUCUGUAUUGCGUUGGAAACUGUAUAACUAGAGUACUGGAGAGGUAAGCGGAACUACAAGUGUAGAGGUGAAAUUCGUAGAUAUUUGUAGGAAUGCCGAUGGGGAAGCCAGCUUACUGGACAGAUACUGACGCUGAAGCGCGAAAGCGUGGGUAGCAAACAGG
rnacentral:rRNA from 1 species